rnacentral:rRNA from 1 species
GGGCGCCGGGGGCUCUCAGCCCCGGGCCCGCGCCCGCCGGAGACACCACGAACUCUGUCUGAUCUAGUGAAGUCUGAGUUGAUUGUAUCGCAAUCAGUUAAAACUUUCAACAAUGGAUCUCUUGGUUCCGGCAUCGAUGAAGAACGCAGCGAAAUGCGAUAACUAGUGUGAAUUGCAGAAUUCCGUGAAUCAUCGAGUCUUUGAACGCACAUUGCGCCCCCUGGUAUUCCGGGGGGCAUGCCUGUCCGAGCGUCAUUGCUGCCCAUCAAGCACGGCUUGUGUGUUGGGUCGUCGUCCCCUCUCCGGGGGGGACGGGCCCCAAAGGCAGCGGCGGCACCGCGUCCGAUCCUCGAGCGUAUGGGGCUUUGUCACCCGCUCUGUAGGCCCGGCCGGCGCUUGCCGAACGCAAAUCAAUCUUUUUCCAGGUUGACCUCGGAUCAGGUAGGGAUACCCGCUGAACUUAAGCAUAUCAAUAAGCGGA